AACACGAUUGUCACAUGUUUCGGUCCCGUGGAGGCGGAAUCGCCCAUCCAGCAUGGUUCGAAAUUAUCAUUCAAUACAACAAUUUUAAUACAGUUUUUAGAACGUGUUACAUUUUACAGUGUGUUUGUGGUGAUGUUAUUGUGUAUUUACAUUUAUGAUAUACCAGCUUCCUACAAUGUCCGAAUCAUCAGCUGUUAGAAGCAUAUCGUCAUUUAUAAGGUGUACAGCUACAAAAAAAAUGGAAGAACCUCAGAGACAGUUAUUUCCGAGAAUUAAGACGGUUAAAGAACAUACGAAGUGGUGCCGCAGCCCCCAAAAAGAAUUCGUACAUAUAUUUUGACCAGCUUCGCUUUCUGAAGGUGGUAGCAGAAAGUAGUCCAACGGCUUCCAAUAUUAAGCGUCCUACCGAGCAGAAACGUCCAUCGUCCCAAACCUACCGCCCCCCUCCAAAGAAAACACGCACUGAAGAUUACGUUGGUUUGGAAAUGGUUAAUGUUUUAAAAUCAAGUCUUCAAGCUAGACAAGAAAGUGAACACCAUGACUCUGAUAAAUUAUUUUUGUUGUCACUUCUGGAUGACUUCAAAAAAAUACCAGACUACUCCAAAAGUACGGCGAAAAUUGAACUGAUUAAGUUGAUUCAGAGUUAUCAACCAAAAUGAGAAUUAUCCCAAUUCACGGACUGCAUUCGACAAUGCUGCUACCCCCACCUCAUCGCACCAUCCACAACGUGGUUAUUAUUCUACCUCCUAUCCGGACAGGCCGUCAACAUCAGACCACUCCUUGGAACAUUCUGCUGUAUCGCCGGAAACUCUGUCACAGGGUUCAGUUAUUUAACUAAAUAAUUAACAAUUGAUGUGUAAUAACUGAAAUAAAUUUUGCAUACCUUAAAGUGA